AGUCCCGCCAGGCUGGGGACAAGGCACAGCAGCGUCCUCUCGGCCUCUCCCAGGCCCCAAUUCGACACAACCAUUCCCCGUCCCCAGCCCCCGGACGAGGAGGGGGUGCAGCCCCUCCACCCCGCCCCGUCGCCGCCCCUAGCCCGACCUUUUUGUCCCAGAUUUGCAGAGGCUUGCUGCCGAUGCUGUAGAGGAUGGAGAGGAAGCCGCUCUGGAACGUGUUUUUGAACAUCUCGCCGGCGGCCUUCUCCUAAGCCGCCCCCGGAGCCGACCUAGGCCCCGGAGUAGAUACAGGCACCGAGCGUCGAGGGCACAGCAGCAGGCCGGCCCUGUUCCGAAGAAGGGUGGUUGAGCUCCUGGCCUCCGGAUCUGCAGCCACUGAUGGCCGGACUCGGACGCGGCAACGCUAAGUCCGCGAUCUUCAGCUCCUAAGCUGCGAGCUCAGAACGGAAACCACAGCAACUACCGUCCGCGCCGCGGUAUUUCCCCGCCUUCAAUGGAGGCGGAGGGCCGCCCGUUGCUUAAAAUGAAUCCCUCCGCCCAUCUGAGCCCGCCCCCCGGGAGCGCGGGGCCCAAUCCCGUUACAAGGACCACGGACUUCCGUUUCGUUCCGCCUGUAAGUCCCGCCUGGUCCCGCCUCCUCCUGAAAAGAGCUCAGUUGUCAAGGAACUAUUUUUCUUGCCGUCGUCCCAGAGAUGCCUUUGGAAAAGCGGAAGGGCACGGAGGGUUCUGGAGUUCGUUGCUGGCACCUGCGUGGUGUCAUGAGAACGUGGCGGGGCGCAGAUUCACACUACAAGGAAUACUAAAGGACGUUCUCCACAUUGAAGGAAAAUGAUCUAAAGAGAAACAGAUCUGUAAGAAGAAAUGAAGAGCACUGGUAAAGGUCCAGCAUAGCAAGUGGGUGGUGAGAUGCCGGCAGUGGAAUUCUAGAAGCAGUGCCUCCCAGAACAGCACUACAGUACUGAGGAAGGACUAUGCACCUGGGAAGCUGUCACACACACAAAAUCAUUUCAUGAAAACUUUCUUUGGGUAAAGGAAGGGUUCCACUGCGUAGUAUUUGAUUUGAGAAGGGCUGCAUGGUGCAUGAGGUUAAGAAAGAAAUGACUAUAUUUGCCUUUAAACACUUCAGCUGAUUCCAAGCACCCAACUUCAGAGGCUCAGUGAGAAGAAAGCACACUAAUUAAAGAAAGCACAUUAAUUAAAGAUACCACCACCUGCCAAAUAAUAGCAUGUGCUGCAAGGAAUGGGGCUAGGGAGAGUGUUUCACAAAUGCAGAGCACCAGGCCACAAGGUUAAAGUCAUGCACUAAAACAGUCAAUCCCAAGAGGCAGGUGUCUGAGUGGCGCGACUCAGAAGCAAGUACAUAAAAACGGAACACUCCCAACAGGACACCACUCUAGCCCCACUUCUGCCAAAGGAAAGUUUUCACAUCAAGGUGUAACACACAUCUUUGCAAUUCAAGGUUUAUCCCUCCCCUCUCCCCCAAAGAGACAGGAAAUACAAGUUAAGGUCCUCAUAGCAAUGGUUUGUCUCCCACUUGGGAAGGCUGGUUAUUGUCAACAUUUUUAUUUAAGAAAACAGGAUUUAACAUGGCAUUUUUCUUCCCUCUAAGGGCAGCAGCACAUAAAUCAUACAUCAGUCAUCCAGUGAUACAAAGAGGUGGCCAAUUGUGUCUGAAGUAGUCACUUGUAAAGGAUCACAACCCAGGCAGUGUUGCUUUUCUGCAAACAGAAGGAAACAGAAGGCUCCAUGGUCCUUGAAGAUUAUCCAAGUUUUCCACUAGUUGUCAAGAUUUCUGUCCCAACCUCUUAGUCACCAUUUACAGCAAGAAGAGCCAGCAAGUGAAAAACUGUUAAUUUAUUGAUUCAAAGUUGUUUUUUUUCUUUUUAAAAAACAAUCCCCAAUACAUGCAGUUCAGGGUUAAGUAUCACAUUUGUAGCACAUUGUUGAGUCUCAAAACAAAAAUAUGCAUCACCUGUAUAAUCCCAUCACAUCUUUUUCCAGCCUCUACAAUACCUAGUUGGGGGUGUUUUCAUUUAUACAUCCACAUAGCUCAGAAGCAUGUUAUUAACGGUUGAUCUGGCCCGAUGCUUCUCCGCCACCUCCCCUGCCCUGGUCUCCACCUCGGGGUUAUUUUUUUCUAAAGGCAGGAUGUUACUCAGUCUUAAUUUAUUAAGAUCACUGACAAACUUUGGCUUCUUGUGUGCUCAUGUGGUCCCUGCUUUUGCUUUCGGAAGGGUUUAUAUUGAAACGACUGUGACUCUGAUCGGUUAUUAUCCCCUCAUUUUUUGUAGGAAAUAAGUUUGCUUGUUUCUGUGGGUGCUCACACAGUAACACAGGUUCCUAAAGUAACCAUUUAAUCUGAACUGGUAUUAAAGGAAACUGUUAACCAGG
rnacentral:lncRNA from 1 species